rnacentral:rRNA from 1 species
CCUACGGGCGGCAGCGGUGGGGGAUAUUGCACAAUGGGGGAAACCCUGAUGCGGCGACGCCGCGUGGGUGAAGAAGCGCCUCGGCGCGUAAAGCCCUGUCAGCAGGGAAGAAAAUGACGGUACCUGAAGAAGAAGCCCCGGCUAACUACGUGCCAGCAGCCGCGGUAAUACGUAGGGGGCAAGCGUUAUCCGGAUUUACUGGGUGUAAAGGGGGCGCAGACGGUGAUGCAAGCCAGGAGUGAAAGCCCGGGGCCCAACCCCGGGACUGCUCUUGGAACUGCGUGGCUAGAGUGCAGGAGGGGCAGGCGGAAUUCCUGGUGUAGCGGUGAAAUGCGUAGAUAUCAGGAGGAACACCGGUGGCGAAGGCGGCCUGCUGGACUGCAACUGACGUUGAGGCCCGAAAGCGUGGGGAGCAAACAGGAUUAGAUACCCCAGUAGUC